UACGGGGGGGGCAAGCGUUGUCCGGAAUCAUUGGGCGUAAAGAGCGUGUAGGCGGCCCGAUAAGUCCGCUGUGAAAGUCCAGGGCUCAACCCUGGAAUGCCGGUGGAUACUGUCGGGCUCGAAUCCGGAAGAGGUGAGUGGAAUUCCUGGUGUAGCGGUGAAAUGCGCAGAUAUCAGGAGGAACACCAAUGGCGAAGGCAGCUCACUGGGACGGUAUUGACGCUGAGACGCGAAAGCGUGGGGGAGCAAACAGG
rnacentral:rRNA from 1 species